rnacentral:rRNA from 1 species
UACGUAGGAGGCGAGCGUUGUCCGGAGUUACUGGGCGUAAAGGGCGCGCAGGCGGCUACAUUUGUCAGGCGUGAAAGCCCGGGCUUAACCUGGGAACUGCGUUUGAUACGGUGUGGCUAGAGUUCGGGAGAGGAGAGUGGAAUUCCCAGUGUAGAGGUGAAAUUCGUAGAUAUUGGGAAGAACACCGGUGGCGAAGGCGGCUCUCUGGACCGAGACUGACGCUGAGGCGGCGAAAAGCGGUGGGGAGCAAACUAGG